rnacentral:misc_RNA from 1 species
GCGAGUAUGGCCCCCACGGGUCUAAUCCACCAUAAACACCUUUGUGAACCAGUCAGGGGGACUCGGCCGUGAAAGCCCAGGCGAUUAGCGGAAGGGCCCUCCUUUGCAAACCCGUUUAGAAGUCUUGAAAGUACUUUUGUAUAAUCUAGUA